rnacentral:rRNA from 1 species
CGAGAAAGCCCGCAAGGGUGAGUACAGCGGCGCACGGGUGCGUAACACGUGGGUAAUCUGCCCUGGAGCCCGGAAUAACUCCCCGAAAGGGGUGCUAAUGCCGGAUGAGACCACGGGGGCCUCGGCUCCUGCGGGAAAAGGUGGCCUCUGUAUACAAGCUAUCACUUCAGGAUGAGCCCGCGGCCCAUCUGCUCGUUGGCGGGGUAAUGGCCCACCAAGGCUACGACGGGUAGCUGGUCUGAGAGGACGACCAGCCACGCUGGAACUGAGACACGGUCCAGACUCCUACGGGAGGCAGCAGUGGGGAAUCUUGCGCAAUGGGCGAAAGCCUGACGCAGUAACGCCGCGUGUGUGAUGAAGGUCUUCGGAUCGUAAAGCACUGUCGCGAGGGACG